rnacentral:rRNA from 1 species
UAAUACGUAGGGUGCGAGCGUUAAUCGGAAUUACUGGGCGUAAAGCGUGCGCAGGCGGUUCGUUAAGUCAGAUGUGAAAGCCCCGGGCUCAACCUGGGAACUGCAUUUGAAACUGGCGGGCUUGAGUAUGGCAGAGGGGGGUGGAAUUCCGCGUGUAGCAGUGAAAUGCGUAGAGAUGCGGAGGAACACCGAUGGCGAAGGCAGCCCCCUGGGCCAAUACUGACGCUCAGGCACGAAAGCGUGGGGAGCAAACAGGAUUAGAUACCCUGGUAGUCCACGCCCUAAACGAUGCUCACUAGGUGUUGGGGAAGCGAUUCCUUGGUACCGUAGCUAACGCGUGAAGUGAGCCGCCUGGGGAGUACGGCCGCAAGGUUA